rnacentral:rRNA from 1 species
AUGAACGCUAGCUACAGGCUUAACACAUGCAAGUCGAGGGGCAGCAUGGUCUUAGCUUGCUAAGGCCGAUGGCGACCGGCGCACGGGUGAGUAACACGUAUCCAACCUGCCGUCUACUCUUGGACAGCCUUCUGAAAGGAAGAUUAAUACAAGAUGGCAUCAUGAGUCCGCAUGUUCACAUGAUUAAAGGUAUUCCGGUAGACGAUGGGGAUGCGUUCCAUUAGAUAGUAGGCGGGGUAACGGCCCACCUAGUCUUCGAUGGAUAGGGGUUCUGAGAGGAAGGUCCCCCACAUUGGAACUGAGACACGGUCCAAACUCCUACGGGAGGCAGCAGUGAGGAAUAUUGGUCAAUGGGCGAGAGCCUGAACCAGCCAAGUAGCGUGAAGGAUGACUGCCCUAUGGGUUGUAAACUUCUUUUAUAAAGGAAUAAAGUCGGGUAUGGAUACCCGUUUGCAUGUACUUUAUGAAUAAGGAUCGGCUAACUCCGUGCCAGCAGCCGCGGUAAUACGGAGGAUCCGAGCGUUAUCCGGAUUUAUUGGGUUUAAAGGGAGCGUAGAUGGAUGUUUAAGUCAGUUGUGAAAGUUUGCGGCUCAACCGUAAAAUUGCAGUUGAUACUGGAUAUCUUGAGUGCAGUUGAGGCAGGCGGAAUUCGUGGUGUAGCGGUGAAAUGCUUAGAUAUCACGAAGAACUCCGAUUGCGAAGGCAGCCUGCUAAGCUGCAACUGACAUUGAGGCUCGAAAGUGUGGGUAUCAAACAGGAUUAGAUACCCUGGUAGUCCACACGGUAAACGAUGAAUACUCGCUGUUUGCGAUAUACAGCAAGCGGCCAAGCGAAAGCGUUAAGUAUUCCACCUGGGGAGUACGCCGGCAACGGUGAAACUCAAAGGAAUUGACGGGGGCCCGCACAAGCGGAGGAACAUGUGGUUUAAUUCGAUGAUACGCGAGGAACCUUACCCGGGCUUAAAUUGCAGAUGAAUUACGGUGAAAGCCGUAAGCCGCAAGGCAUCUGUGAAGGUGCUGCAUGGUUGUCGUCAGCUCGUGCCGUGAGGUGUCGGCUUAAGUGCCAUAACGAGCGCAACCCUUGUUGUCAGUUACUAACAGGUUCCGCUGAGGACUCUGACAAGACUGCCAUCGUAAGAUGUGAGGAAGGUGGGGAUGACGUCAAAUCAGCACGGCCCUUACGUCCGGGGCUACACACGUGUUACAAUGGGGGGUACAGAGGGCCGCUACCACGCGAGUGGAUGCCAAUCCCCAAAACCUCUCUCAGUUCGGACUGGAGUCUGCAACCCGACUCCACGAAGCUGGAUUCGCUAGUAAUCGCGCAUCAGCCACGGCGCGGUGAAUAUGUUCCCGGGCCUUGUACACACCGCCCGUCAAGCCAUGGGAGCCGGGGGUACCUGAAGUGCGUAACCGCGAGGAGCGCCCUAGGGUAAAACUGGUGACUGGGGCU